CUGCUGACCUCUUCCUGACUGGACUCUCCAUGAUGCACCGCUCUCCCCUGCUUCAAGACACAAAGACCCUCCUGUCCUAAGACAGCCAGACCCUGCAUUCUGCAUGCUUGAGAAACAAUGACCUCAGGGAAGCCACAUGAAGAUGGGGACCAGUGGCCACUGCAGCUUGAAAUGUGAGGGUUUUCGUUCAUCCAUCCAUUCAUCUGUCCAUCUGUCCAACCAUCAUCUACAAAGGGCCUACUGUGCUAAGCACUCUGGUAGGUGGGGGAGUUACAAGACACAAGUCCCUGUCCUCAGGAAGUUGAGAGCACAAGGGCUGGACACAUUCCCAGGAACAAGCUCCUCAUUCUCCAAUUUCCAGGACUUGGGCUAUGUGCACCCUUUUGAACAGCAAACUCCAAUCUGAGAGUAAAAGUUGGAGACCAGAAGAGACAGUAUGGAAAGCCAGGAAAGAGGAGGUGAUCUGGACCAGCAAUUGAAGCAUACUGGAACUAAAAAGAAGACCCUGACUUCUCAGGUAGCUGGUGGGGACAAAGAGCCUGGUCUGAUAACAGAACUCGAUUUUGACCAAUUGACAGAGGUCUACAUCAUCAAUGGAUCUCUAGGGAAGAAGACCUCCACAAAACUCUAGAAUUCACUGUGAUAUUUAUAAUUGCUUAUUAUGAUAUAUAAACUAUAAAGCA